rnacentral:sRNA from 1 species
AUGGCUCAGUGAGGCGUUCGGACUGGCUCGGGGAGGUUGGCAACGACCACCCCAAGCCGGAAAGUUCGUCAAACUCGGUCAUUUAGAGGAAGUAAAAGUCGUAACAAGGUCUCCGUAGGUGAACCUGCGGAGGGAUCAUUACACAACAAAAUAUGAAGGCCUGGCUUCGCGGCCGGCUGAAAUAUUUUUUUCACCCAUGUCUUUUGCGCACUUGUUGUUUCCUGGGCGGGUUCGCCCGCCACCAGGACCAAACCAUAAACCUUUUUUUUAUGCAGUUGCAAUCAGCGUCAGUAAAAACAAUGUAAUUAUUACAACUUUCAACAACGGAUCUCUUGGUUCUGGCAUCGAUGAAGAACGCAGCGAAAUGCGAUACGUAGUGUGAAUUGCAGAAUUCAGUGAAUCAUCGAAUCUUUGAACGCACAUUGCGCCCUUUGGUAUUCCAAAGGGCAUGCCUGUUCGAGCGUCAUUUGUACCUUCAAGCUUUGCUUGGUGUUGGGCGUUUUUUGUCUCCCUCUUUCUGGGAGACUCGCCUUAAAACGAUUGGCAGCCGGCCUACUGGUUUCGGAGCGCAGCACAUAUUUUGCGCUUUGUAUCAGGAGAAAAGGACGGUAAUCCAUCAAGACUCUACAUUUUUAACUUUUGACCUCGGAUCAGGUAGGGAUACCCGCUGAACUU